AUGAGUAGAGGUGAUGAGUUUCUGUUACCGCCCCAGUCUGAUAAUUCAUGACUGAUUGGUUUUCUCUGAUCAA